CCAAGCCCAAGAACCAAGCUGAGGCCCAGAAGGUCACGUUCAGCCAGGACCCUACGACAGUGGCCCUCUGCAUCUCCAAAGAGGGCCGCCCACCUGCCCGGAUCUCCUGGCUCUCAUCCCUGGACUGGGAAGCCAAAGAGACUCAGGUGUCAGGGACCCUGGCCGGAACUGUCACUGUCACCAGCCGCUUCACCUUGGUGCCCUCGGGCCGAGCAGAUGGUGUCACGGUCACCUGCAAAGUGGAGCAUGAGAGCUUCGAGGAACCAGCCCUGAUACCUGUGACCCUCUCUGUACGCUACCCUCCUGAAGUGUCCAUCUCCGGCUAUGAUGACAACUGGUACCUCGGCCGUACUGAUGCCACCCUGAGCUGUGACGUCCGCAGCAACCCAGAGCCCACGGGCUAUGACUGGAGCACGACCUCAGGCACCUUCCCGACCUCCGCAGUGGCCCAGGGCUCCCAGCUGGUCAUCCACGCAGUGGACAGUCUGUUCAAUACCACCUUCGUCUGCACAGUCACCAAUGCCGUGGGCAUGGGCCGCGCUGAGCAGGUCAUCUUUGUCCGAGCACUCGAGGAUGACAUGGAGUCCCAGCUGGACGGCUCCCUCAUCUCACGGCGGGCAGUUUAUGUGUGACCUGGACACAGACAGAGACAGAGCCAGGCCCGGCCCUCCCGCCCCCGACCUGACCACGCCGGCCUAGGGUUCCAGACUGGUUGGACUUGUUCGUCUGGACGACACUGGAGUGGAACACUGCCUCCCACUUUCUUGGGACUUGGAGGGAGGUGGAACAGCACACUGGACUUCUCCCGUCUCUAGGGCUGCAUGGGGAGCCCGGGGAGCUGAGUAGUGGGGAUCCAGAGAGGACCCCCGCCCCCAGAGACUUGGUUUUGGCUCCAGCCUUCCCCUGGCCCCGUGACACUCAGGAGUUAAUAAAUGCCUUGGAGGAAAACA
rnacentral:lncRNA from 1 species